CUACGGGAGGCAGCAGUGGGGAAUAUUCCGCAAUGGGCGAAAGCCUGACGGAGCGACGCCGCGUGGAUGAUGACGGUCUUCGGAUUGUAAAGUCCUGUAGAGGGCGAAGAAGGGUGCCGCAAGGCAUUUGACAGUAGUCCUAAAGUAAGCUACGGCAAACUCUGUGCCAGCAGCCGCGGUAAUACAGAGGUAGCAAGCGUUGUUCGGAAUGACUGGGUGUAAAGCGCGUGUAGGCGGUUUUAUAAGUUGAAUGUGAAAUCCCCUGGCUUAACCAGGGAACGGCAUUCAAAACUGUAUAACUUGAGUGCGGAAGAGGAAAGUGGAAUUUCGGGUGUAGCGGUGAAAUGCGUAGAUAUCCGAAGGAACACCGGUGGCGAAGGCGACUUUCUGGUCCGCAACUGACGCUGUGACGCGAAAGCUAGGGGAGCAAACAGGAUUAGAUACCCGUGUAGUCCC
rnacentral:rRNA from 1 species